GGUUCUCGUGCAGCCCGACUGGGCAUGCUCAGUAGCCCCGCAGGUUUUGGGCUGCAAGUCUGAAGCUCUACCCGCUCCCAGUGGCCGGGUUAGAGAUCGAGGGAGGCAGGGAGGGGCCAGCUUGCGGUUGGCCGCUGUGCUGCCAGAUAAACCUCCUCUGGCGUGUGCGGGUCGGACUCCAUGAAGCCGGCCCGAGGGCUCGGGAGCCAGCCGGUCGGCCCCUGCUAUGGCUGGGGGAGAAGAAGCUGAGGUUGCAGGGACCCAGCCCGCCGUGGCUGCAACAGCAGGAAAUUGCUAUCAUCAAGAAAGACAAGUGGUAGAUGUCAGAAGACUAACAAACAUUCAGGGGUCCCAAAGGGGUGAGAAGAAUGAGAAGUGGGGAGAAGCAUGACACUGAAGCUGGCAGCAAUCAGAGGCAAGGUUUAUUGGUCACAGCUAGUAUUUUAUAGAGAAAGCGACAUAGGCUAAGGGAUUAGGUCAACUUUUUACAUGGACAAUGGUUAGUAAUGAUUUAUAAUCUUAGUACAACGACUUAGUUUAUCUCACGGAAACUUAGAGUUUUUUUAUAUAUUAAUAAAUCACUAUGUCAAUGUGUAAUCAUCUAGUUCAGAUUCUCAGGGAAAUGUUUGGCUUCAGUGGGUAGAACAGGAGCAAUCUGGAACAGCCGAGAAUUUAUCAGAUGCUUUGGAUGAAAUAAUAUGUACCUGGCUACAUGUUUGGCUUUAUCUAAGUUAUGGCUGUGAUUUUACUGGAGCCUACUCUCACUCCUGAGGGCUACAGGUAGAAGUUUUGUUAAGUUCAAUGUUAAACCUAUUAAUUGAUAAGUCAAUGCUAGGACAUCUCUAAGUUACUAUAAUAGAAUGCAAAUAUGAAAAAUCUUGUAAUUUUAAUCUGUGGUGAAACUAUAAUACAUGGAUGAUAUUCUCCUCCAAAUGAAUCUGGUCUGAAUAAUCCUAAAGCAAAUGAAACUCUUUUCCUAUUUUUAUAAUACUUGUACAGAAGAGUUCAUUUUACAAAUUAGGUCCUCAUAUAUUUUUAUGUCAGCUAAAUACCAAGUAGUCUAUAAAAAUUAAAUCCUCUAAAAUUUCAGGGUAAGAGAAACACAUUCAAGAGGUUCUGACAAAUUGUACUAAGUCUUGUUACUGGUAGAUUGUGGCAAAUUUUAAGCUAGGAACCACUACAAGUGAUUUAGAACCAGAGAAACAAAACCUCCUUCAAAGCUGUCCUGAAAAUGAAGCCAUUACCAGAAGACCCAAGAGAAGAUAUCCAUGAACCACAGUCUCAAGAGAAUUCCUACCAUUAGAUUAACUGUUUUCUUUUCUAGACUAAGUAUUCAGUGCACUUGGUUCUCCCUUCUCAUAUUUGCAUCCAUACAGACUAUUGGAAUACCAUAAAUUACCCCAAAUACCAUCUUCCAGCUCUCCAGAGACUAUGCUACAUGGAGGACCUUACCAAGUAUCAGGCUCCUUGGAAACACAGAUAAAAUUCCACCACCAGCCCUUUCCAUCACCACAACAACUCCAUCAUCGAGGCCAUUCCACUGCCUUCUUCCCUCUCUCAAUAAAGCUUUCUCCCUCACCA